UACGGAGGGGGCGAGCGUUGUUCGGAAUUACUGGGCGUAAAGCGCGCGUAGGCGGUCAUGCAAGUCGGAUGUGAAAGCCCUCGGCUCAACCGAGGAAUUGCGUCCGAUACUGCUUGGCUUGAGUCCGGUAGGGGAUGGCAGAAUUCCCGGUGUAGCGGUGGAAUGCGUAGAUAUCGGGAGGAAUACCGAUGGCGAAGGCGGCCAUCUGGGCCGGAACUGACGCUGAGGCGCGAAAGCUAGGGGAGCAAAC
rnacentral:rRNA from 1 species